ensembl:lncRNA
GCAGCAGUACUGCUGCAGCCUGAAGGCCGCAUCCAAGUCGCUCUGCCUCCUCUCGCUGCGUUCCUGCAGAGCCCCCCAGGCCCCCCCCAGUCUGUCCCGCAGCUCCCGGACGCCGUCGGCCUCGGGGCAGCGCACGGCGGCGGCGGCGGCGGCUCGAUCCAGGAGUUCGGCCACGCGGCAGCGCCGCGCCUGCAGCUCCCGGCGGAGGGUCUGUGGGGAUGGGGCCUUAAUCCCAAUCCUAAUCUCGAGAUCAUUCGGAAUCCCAAUCCUAAUCCCGACCCCGAGGCCAUUCGUAAUCCCGAUCUCAAUCCCAACCCUGAGACCAUUCACAAUCCCAAUCCUAAUCCUAAUCCCGAGACCAUUCAGAAUCCCAAUCCUAAUCCCGACCCCGAGGCCAUUCGUCAUCCCAGUUCUAAUCCCGACCUCAAUCCCAACCCUGAGGCCAUUCACAAUCCCGACCCCAAUCCCAUUCGUAAUCCUGACCUCAAUCCCGACCCCGAGACCAUUCAUAAUCUCAAUCCUAAUCCUAAUCCUGAGACCAUUCGUAAUCCCAAUCCUAACCCCAACCCCGAGACCAUUUGUAAUCCCAAUUCUAAUCCCGACCCCAAGGCCAUUUGUAAUCCCAAUUCUAAUCCCGACCCCACACCCAUUCGUAGUCCCAAUCCUAUUCCCAACCCUAAAACCAUUCAUAAUCCCGACCCCAAUCCCACUCAUAAUCCCAAUCCUAAUCCUGACCCCCAGACCAUUCAUAAUCCCAGUUCUAAUCCUUACCCCAAGGCCAUUUGUAAUCCCAGUUCUAAUCCCGACCCCAAUCCCAUUCGUAAUCCUGAUCUCAAUCCCAACCCCGAGACCAUUCAUAAUCCCAAUCCUAAUCCCAACCCUGAGACCAUUCAUAAUCCCAAUCCUAAUCCGGACCCCGAGGCCAUUCGUAAUCCUAGUUCUAAUCCCGACCCGGAGACCAUUCAUAAUCGCAAUCCUAAUCCUAAACCCAAGACCAUUCGUAAUCCCAGUCCUAACCCCAACCCCGAGACCAUUCAUAAUCCCAACCCUAAUCCUAAUCCCGAGACCAUUCGGAAUCCCAAUCCUAAUCCCGACUCCGAGGCCAUUCGUAAUCCCUAUCCUAAUCCUGACCCCGAGACCAUUCAUAAUCCCAAUCCUAAUCCUGACCCCGAGGCCAUUCGUAAUCCCAGUUCUAAUCCCGACCCCAAGACCAUUCAUAAUCCCGAUCUCAAUCCCAACCCUGAGACCAUUCAUAAUCCCGAGCCCGAGACCAUUCAUAAUCCCAAUCCUAAUCCUAACCCCGAGGCCAUUCGUAAUCCCAGUCCUAAUCCCAACCCUGAGACCAUUCGUAAUCCCAAUUCUAAUCCUGACCCCGAGGCCAUUCAUAACCUCAAUCCUAAUCCCGACCCCGAGACCUUUUGUAAUCCCAGUUCUAAUCCCAACCCCGAGACCAUUUGUAAUUCUGACCUCAAUCCCAACCCUGAGACCAUUCAUAAUCCCGACCCCGAGACCAUUCAUAAUCUCAAUCCUAAUCCUAAUCCUGAGACCUUUUGUAAUCCCAGUCCUAACCCCAACCCCGAGACCAUUCGU